GUAACAAGAAUACUAGAUGGUUGUUACUUCUCUGCCCAUUAUGGACUGAGUGUUCUCAUUGAUAAGUCACUCAUAAAAAUUUCAAGUAAAGACAAGCUACAAAUGCAUGAUUUACUCCAAGAGAUGGGUUGGGAAAUUGUUCGCCAAGUAUCCUUCAAAGAGCCAGGCAAGCAUAGCAGACUGUGGAAUCCUGAAGAUGUCUGCAACGUUUUGAAGAAAGACACUGGAACUGAUGCAAUUGAAGGCUUGCUCCUAGAUAUGUCUAAAAUCAGAGAAAUGCAUUUAAAUUCUGAAGCCUUUACAAAUAUGCGUAAUCUUAGGCUUCUGAAAUUCUAUUUAUCUGAUCAGCUUUUGGGAGACUUUGUAAAUAACCCUAAAUUGUGUUUCCCCCAAGGAUUAGAAUACCUUUCUGAUGAGUUAAGAUGCCUAUAUUGGGUUGGAUUUCCAUUGAAAACAUUGCCACCGAGAUUUAGUCCAGAGAAGCUUAUUGAACCUAACCUGCCGUACAGCAACAUUGAGCAACUCUGGAUAGGAACUAAGCAAUCUAACCGAAAUUCCUGAAGAUCUUUGUUGUAUAUCCUCAUUGAAAACAUUAAAUCUGAACGGAAACAAUUUCGAGAGCCUACCUUCAAGAAUAAAGCAACUGUCGAAGCUGAAACGCCUUUACUUAAGAGAUUGCAAUAUGCUUCGAUCUUUACCGGAGCUUCCACCAUGUUUAAGAGUACUAAUAGCAAUGAACUGCAAGCGGCUACAAUCAUUACCCAAGCUUCCAUCAAGUCUAGAAGAAUUAGAUGCAUCUGAGUUGGAGGUAGUAUCUGAACGCUAUGUCCCAUUUUCAUGGAUCACAAUGCGCUUUUUAUUCACAAAUUGUCAGAAAUUGAAUCAAAAUGCAUACAACAUCUUGGAACUUUCCCAGCUAAGAAUUUAUCAAAUGGCUGUCACAUCUUUGAGACUUUGUUAUGAAAAGGUACUCAAAGUCACACCUGCAAUCAGCUUUUGUUUACCCGGAACUAUAAUUCCUAACUGGUUCAGCUACCGAAGUUCAGGAUCUUCGAUAACUAUUCAGCUCCCUCAGCAUUGGUGUAAUACAAGGUUCAUCGGGUUCGCUUUAUGUGCAGUUAUUAAAUUUGAGGAGAGCUACUGCGAUAGUGCUUUUUAUGUAACUUGUGAUUAUCAUUUUGAUACCAAUAGU